rnacentral:misc_RNA from 1 species
GAAAUGCGAUAAGUAAUGUGAAUUGCAGAAUUCAGUGAAUCAUCGAAUCUUUGAACGCACCUUGCGCCCUUUGGCAUUCCGAAGGGCACGCCUGUUUGAGUGUCAUGUUCAUCUCAAUCCAUUAGCUUUGCGGCUGAUUUGGAUUGGAUUUGGGAGCCUGCUGGCCCUUCCUCGGGUCGGCUCUCCUUGAAUGCAUGAGUGAGCAUCUGGCUCGCGUUGCUGGUGUGAUAGUCUUUCAUCAUUGGUAGCGCUUGCCUAACGGGCUUGCUUUCGAACCGUCUUCUCAACGGAGACAACUUUGACAUAUUUGACCUCAAAUCAGGUGGGACUACCCGCUGAACUUAA